UUGCAGAUUCUUACUUCUCCACCAACAAUUUAAUCAUUUGUCUCUGGCUAGCAAUUUAAGUGUUCUUCUCAGCUAUGUGCUUAGGGUGGGAGCAGCAAAGGAUGUAUACUGUGAAAAAUGAGUAUUCUCAUUUUGGUGCAUCUAUACCUACUAUUCGUUUGCGCCAAUUCAAGGGCAGAUAUUCUAACUGUAUAUUACCCAUCUAUUCAUCACGUUCUUCAACUCUGUAUGCAGUGCGGCCUCAAGGGAAGGUUAUUAAUGAAGCUCAAUUUGGCAAAGAGCUGCAAUCACCUGCAACCAAAUGUUUCAAUUCUCCAUUGGUUUUCUCAACAAGAGGGAGCAAGCAUAUGAAAGACUAAAAGGACAACAAGCAAAGCAAUUUAUUCAUACCAAGGGGAAAGACCCUCCUAAGGAGAAAGGAGGACUGGGAAUCAAGAAAAUUAGGUUGCAAAAUGAAGCUCUGCUACUCAAGCACCUAGAUUCUAUAACAGGAAAGAUGUGCCAUGGGUUAAUCUAGUAUGACACACAUAAUACAAAGAGGGGUAGGUGCCACAUGAGACAGCAACAAGAUGCUAGCCAAAUGUAAUGUAGGUGAUCGGCAAAUGGUUAUGUUAUGGCAUGACAUAUGGAACAACCACAAUUUACAUGAGGAGCUACCAAGGUUAUACUCAUAUGCCAAGAAUAUCAAAGUCUCGGUGGCAGCAUACAUGGCAAACACAGACACAGCUGUCAACUU